UGGGGAAUAUUGGACAAUGGGCGAAAGCCUGAUCCAGCCAUGCCGCGUGUGUGAAGAAGGUCUUCGGAUUGUAAAGCACUUUAAGUUGGGAGGAAGGGCAGUUACCUAAUACGUGAUUGUUUUGACGUUACCGACAGAAUAAGCACCGGCUAACUCUGUGCCACCAGCCGCGGUAAUACAGAGGGUGCAAGCGUUAAUCGGAAUUACUGGGCGUAAAGCGCGCGUAGGUGGUUUGUUAAGUUGGAUGUGAAAUCCCCGGGCUCAACCUGGGAACUGCAUUCAAAACUGACUGACUAGAGUAUGGUAGAGGGUGGUGGAAUUUCCUGUGUAGCGGUGAAAUGCGUAGAUAUAGGAAGGAACACCAGUGGCGAAGGCGACCACCUGGACUAAUACUGACACUGAGGUGCGAAAGCGUGGGGAGCAAACA
rnacentral:rRNA from 1 species